UACGUAGGAUGCAAGCGUUGUCCGGAAUUAUUGGGCGUAAAGAGCGCGCAGGCGGUAACUCAAGUCAGAUGUGAAAUAUCCGGGCUUAACCCGGAGGGGUCAUUUGAAACUGAGUAACUAGAGUACAGCAGAGGAUAGCGGAAUUCCCGGUGUAGUGGUGAAAUGCGUAGAUAGUCGGGAGGAACACCAGUGGCGAAGGGCGGUUCGUCUGGGCCUGUACUGACGCUGAG
rnacentral:rRNA from 1 species